UACGUAGGGACCAAGCGUUGUUCGGAUUUACUGGGCGUAAAGAGCGUGUAGGCGGCCUUUUAAGUCCUGCGUGAAAUCCUGCGGCUCAACCGCAGACGGUCGUGGGAAACUGGAAGGCUAGAGUGCGGGAGAGGAGAGUGGAAUUCCCGGUGUAGCGGUGAAAUGCGCAGAUAUCGGGAAGAACACCCGUGGCGAAGGCGGCUCUCUGGGCCUUACCUGACGCUCAGGUGCGAAAGCUAGGGGAGCAAACAGG
rnacentral:rRNA from 1 species